GACGAACGCUGGCGGCGUGCUUAACACAUGCAAGUCGAACGGAAAGGCCCUGCUUUUGUGGGGUGCUCGAGUGGUGAACGGGUGAGUAACACGUGAGUAACCUUCCCUUGACUUUGGGAUAACUUCAGGAAACUGGGGCUAAUACCGGAUAGGAGCUCCUGCUGCAUGGUGGGGGUUGGAAAGUUUCGGCGGUUGGGGAUGGACUCGCGGCUUAUCAGCUUGUUGGUGGGGUAGUGGCUUACCAAGGCUUUGACGGGUAGCCGGCCUGAGAGGGUGACCGGCCACAUUGGGACUGAGAUACGGCCCAGACUCCUACGGGAGGCAGCAGUGGGGAAUAUUGCACAAUGGGCGGAAGCCUGAUGCAGCAACGCCGCGUGCGGGAUGACGGCCUUCGGGUUGUAAACCGCUUUCGCCUGUGACGAAGCGUGAGUGACGGUAAUGGGUAAAGAAGCACCGGCUAACUACGUG
rnacentral:rRNA from 1 species